GUGGGGAAUUUUGGACAAUGGGCGCAAGCCUGAUCCAGCAAUGCCGCGUGCAGGAAGAAGGCCUUCGGGUUGUAAACUGCUUUUGUACGGAACGAAACGGUCCGGGUUAAUACCCUGGGCUAAUGACGGUACCGUAAGAAUAAGCACCGGCUAACUACGUGCCAGCAGCCGCGGUAAUACGUAGGGUGCAAGCGUUAAUCGGAAUUACUGGGCGUAAAGCGUGCGCAGGCGGUUUUGUAAGACAGGCGUGAAAUCCCCGGGCUCAACCUGGGAAUUGCGGUUGUGACUGCAAGGCUGGAGUGCGGCAGAGGGGGAUGGAAUUCCGCGUGUAGCAGUGAAAUGCGUAGAUAUGCGGAGGAACACCGAUGGCGAAGGCAAUCCCCUGGGCCUGCACUGACGCUCAUGCACGAAAGCGUGGGGAGCAAACAGGAUUAGAAACCCUUGUAGUCC
rnacentral:rRNA from 1 species